UUGCGUUCGCUUAGUUCGCUUUUAUGAAAACAGGAUUAACCGUCGCUUAGUCGGUCAACUCUGUUAGAUAAGAGGUUUGAGUAGCGACUUUAUUUUGUUAAUCUGUGAAGGGAACAUUGUAAUUAAGUUAAUGACCAACUGCUUUUAUUCUGUCUUUGAACUCGUUUCUAAAUCUGUGUUUAAUUAUUACUUGCGUCUGUGUUUUGAUUUUAUUCCUCCGCAUUCACAAACUUUCACAAACCCCCCCCU
rnacentral:lncRNA from 1 species